rnacentral:tRNA from 1 species
GUUUUAAUAAUUUAAAAAAAAUACUGGUCUUGUAAAUCAGAAAUGAGACCCCUAUCUUAAAAUA